rnacentral:rRNA from 1 species
UACGUAGGUGGCAAGCGUUAUCCGGAUUUAUUGGGCGUAAAGGGAACGCAGGCGGUCUUUUAAGUCUGAUGUGAAAGCCUUCGGCUUAACCGGAGUAGUGCAUUGGAAACUGGGAGACUUGAGUGCAGAAGAGGAGAGUGGAACUCCAUGUAUAGCGGUGAAAUGCGUAGAUAUAUGGAAGAACACCAGUGGCGAAAGCGGCUCUCUGGUCUGUAACUGACGCUGAGGUUCGAAAGCGUGGGUAGCAAACAGG